CAUCCUCCAAGGCUAAAUACUCCUGACUGACCGAUAGUGAACCAGUACCGUGAGGGAAAGGCGAAAAGAACCCCGGCGAGGGGAGUGAAAAAGAACCUGAAACCGUGUACGUACAAGCAGUGGGAGCACCCUUUGGGGUGUGACUGCGUACCUUUUGUAUAAUGGGUCAGCGACUUAUAUUCUGUAGCAAGGUUAACCGUAUAGGGGAGCCGGAGGGAAACCGAGUCUUAACCGGGCGUUAAGUUGCAGGGUAUAGACCCGAAACCCGGUGAUCUAGCCAUGGGCAGGUUGAAGGUUGGGUAACACUAACUGGAGGACCGAACCGACUAAUGUUGAAAAAUUAGCGGAUGACCUGUGGCUGGGGGUGAAAGGCCAAUCAAACCGGGAGAUAGCUGGUUCUCCCCGAAAGCUAUUUAGGUAGCGCCUCGUGAACUCAUCUCCGGGGGUAGAGCACUGUUUCGGCUAGGGGGCCAUCCCGGCUUACCAACCCGAUGCAAACUGCGAAUACCGGAGAAUGUUAUCACGGGAGACACACGGCGGGUGCUAACGUCCGUCGUGAA
rnacentral:rRNA from 1 species